UCUAUACAAAGCUAAUGUAAG
rnacentral:piRNA from 1 species